rnacentral:rRNA from 1 species
CCUACAGGAGGCAGCAGUGGGGAAUAUUGCACAAUGGGGGAAACCCUGAUGCAGCGACGCCGCGUGAAGGAAGAAGUAUUUCGGUAUGUAAACUUCUUUUGACAGGGAAGAGCAGAAGACGGUACCUGUCGAAUAAGCCACGGCUAACUACGUGCCAGCAGCCGCGGUAAUACGUAGGUGGCAAGCGUUGUCCGGAUUUACUGGGUGUAAAGGGCGUGUAGCCGGGCUGACAAGUCAGAUGUGAAAUCCGGGGGCUCAACCCCCGAACUGCAUUUGAAACUGUUGGUCUUGAGUAUCGGAGAGGCAGGCGGAAUUCCUAGUGUAGCGGUGAAAUGCGUAGAUAUUAGGAGGAACACCAGUGGCGAAGGCGGCCUGCUGGACGACAACUGACGGUGAGGCGCGAAAGCGUGGGGAGCAAACAGGAUUAGAUACCCGAGUAGUC